CCCACGGUGAAUACAGCUACCACACUGGACUGCAGUGACAUUUACUUGACCAUUGGACCCACUCACUACACUCCGAGCUCCUUGGGCCAGGAAAGUGCUUCGUAAACCUUUGUAACUGCUCAGGCGAUCGGGAAAGCUGUCGAAGUGCUUGGUUCAAAUGAGCUCCCACCUCCCUUGCCUGCAACCUUACGUUGAGCCCCUCCAAGGCUCCAGGGUCUCACUGAGUUGCUUAGAGCCUUGCCAUUGCUGAGGCUGGCUUUGAACUCGCGAUCCUCCUGCCUCAGCCUCCCGAGCUGCUGGGAUUACAGGUAUGUGCCACCGCGCACCCAGCAUUGGGGUAGCUCUUGAUCCAGGGUGACUGGCAUCCUUAAAAGGAGAAGUUAGGACUCUGAGAAAGAAGACAGAUACAGGAAGAAGAGAGCCCCCUGUAAGCCAAUCAGAGGUGUCAGUAGAAAUCAGCCCUCAGUACACCUUGUUCUUGGACUUAUGACUUCCUGAACUGUGAGAAAUGCAUUUCUCUUAUGAGAGCCGCCCAGUUGGUGGAUGCUGCCUUAGCUAAUUUCCGCCCUUCAUCGGGAUUUGGGAUGGUGACUUAAUGUACGUGGUUCUGCUUGGGAUGAAAACUUGGAAAAAGUGCAACAAAACAAGGCUACUCUGUUGACCCCUAAUUUUUUUUUCCUAACACCCAUUCCUAGCUCACAGGCCUCAUAUUCUGGGUCUUUUUUUUUUUUAAUUUAAUUUAAUUUUUUUUUUUUUAAUAUUCCGGGUCUUCACCUUGUCAUUUUUCUCCCUGUUUGGACCACAAGCUCCCUGAAGGCAGAGCCAUGUCCACAUAUCCAUCACAGGGUCCCCAGCAUGCAGCCCAGGUGAAGUCCCUUAAAGGCACUGGGAACACACCUUUUGGGUGAAUUCUGUCUGCAACAAGGGCCUGCACCAUUCCUCACUCUGGGCUUACCUGCAGACUUUUUAAUUGAAACAGCUGGUUUUGCACAUCAGGUCUCUGCUCAGAACUGACUUACCAUUGACUGUGUCCCGUGUACCUCCCUCAUCCCCCUCCAGGCACUGAAUGUGAUCAACAUGUGUUAAAAACCAGAGAGGAAGAGUGGCAUUAUUAGUUUUUGUUUGCACUUGGUGAACUGCGCCACGCAUUCUAUUAAAACCAAAUCGUACCAGGCAAUAUGUGGGAACGCUGUGGUCCCCAAAGGGUUCACUUAAUGAGGCCAGGGAUCAGAUGGCUGCAGCGUCCCCUCACACCUAUGGCAGUGCUGACCUAGAGCUGGGCACUUAGUGGUAUUUGGGGAAUGAGUGGCGAAGUCCAUAUCAAGGACAGGUGGGUGGAUGCUGAGCCUUUCUCAGUGCUCCUGUGAGGGUGGCCGGUCCUCCUUCCAGCUGCCUCUGUACCCAUUGCCCCAUUUUUCUUUUUAGGCUGUGGAUGCUGGUUCUUCUUUAUAGCCCCUGAUGAGGGUGAAGCUGUCAUGCUGUUACCUUCUCACUGAGAGGAGAGAGGGUCUCCUUUUAUACCUCAAAGCGCCCCCGGGGUCCCUGGUUUUAGGAAACUCAUGACUUGCCUGGGAAUCAUUGGUGACCACCCCACAAUUUCUCUGCCCCCUCCAGGACCAAUUUUCUCUACCCCCCCCCAUCUACACGUAUUUUUUUUAAAAAAUUGAGGUGAGGGCUGGGGAUGUGGCUCAAGUGGUAGCGCGCUCGCCUGGCAUGCGUGCAGCCCGGGUUUGACCCUCAGCACCACAUACAAACAAAGAUGUUGUGUCUGCUGAAAACUAAAAAAUAAAUAUUAAAAAUUCUCUCUCUCUCUCUCUCUUCCUCUCUCACUCUCUCUUUAAAAAAAAAAUUGAGGUGAAAGUCACACACCGUUCACACCAUACCAUGCACCAUUUUUAAAGCAUACAAUUCAGGGACAUUUGUUAUAUCCUCACUGCUCUGCCACCGUGACCACUACUCAGUUCCAGAAGAUUCUCCUCAUCCCCCAAAUAAACCCCAAGCCGGUGAAGCAGUCACUCCCCACUCUCCUCUCUGCCUGCUUCUCGGCCAUUGGCAGCCACUGAUCUGUUUCCUGUCUCUGUGGAUCUGCCUAUUCUGGCCUCCCCAUAGAAACGGAGUCACCCACCAUCUUGGUCUUUUGUAUCUGGCUUCCUUUUAAUAUGAUGUCUCCAAGGUUCCUCACAUAGAAGUAGGCAUCAGGACUUUGAUUCUUGUUACGGUUGGGUCGAGUGAUGUCCCAUUGUCACGGAUCUGCCUCGCUGGGUUAUCUGUCCAUUGGAUUCUGGGGUUGUGACUGUGUUCUGGCUCCUUUGAGUAUCACUGUGCACUGCUCUUAGUUUUUUGGGUUUUUAUUUUUGUACCAGGGAUUGAACCCAGGAGUGUGUAACCACCAAGCCACACCACCAGCCCUUUAAAAAAUAUAUAUUUUAUCUAGAGACAGAGUCUCCCUGAGUUGCUUAGGGCCUCACUAAGUUGCUGAGGCUGGCUAUGAACUCCCGAUCCUCCUGCCUCAGCCUCCUGAGCCUCUGGGGGUUACAGGCGAGCGCCAGGCACCCGGCUUUGCAUGCUCUUUUUAUCCCUCAUCUGUCUUGUGUUGAAGGCCUGCCUUGCUGUCACUGGAAGGAGCUCUGGAGAGUUGAGAAGGCGGCCAGACGGCCUCAUGCAGCUCCAGCCGUGAGAUUUCAGGCAGCCCGGUUGGCGCGCGUUUCCUAGUGCGCAUGCGCCUUCCUGACAGCCCUGCAGAUGGUCCUGCGAGGCGCCCAACCCAGCGUGCGAGGUCCAGUCCUUCCUACGUAAGCGGGGAAAGUCCGAUGUCAGAGGAGAGCUGUUUUUGUUCCUCCUUUUCCCUUUGAUUCCCCUCCCUUUCUGGUUCCCCGCUUCCUCUUCUCUGCUGUUGCCAGUCACUGCGUUUGAACUGCCCUUUCCUCUUUCUUCAGCGGGCCUGGGGACAUGGUGGAACAUUCUGGGCUAAUGCCAGGCUGGAGGUGAACCUGGUGACAUGUGUCAUGGGAUGCAUCCUCCGAAAGGGCAGGAUGAGCUGCAGAGGACAGUGGUCAGCCACACUAGGUGGUGGGUGACAGGGUGAAGCCAGCAGUGGCUGGACCCGAAGAGGGUGCAGGAGGGCCCUGAUGGUGCCUUCCCAUCCAGUUUGAUUUAGGGUCUUAGUUUACAGACAGCAUUGAGGCCUUUUGUGGCCCAGGAGGUCACCAGAAUGAUGGAUACUUAGAUAUCAGAAUCAAACCCACAGGGACACGCAGGGGCGAGCUCCCGAUGGAGAGGUGUGUGCUUUUCUUGGACAUUGGUUUGUGAAUGUUCUGUCUUCUGCAGCCCUGUGCCUGCUGCUUCCCCAGCCCAAGGUGAAGCCUCUUGAAGGCAAAGAUGACAAGCCACUUUUAUUUCUCCAUACACGCUUGCUCAGGGUGCCCCCCCUGGAUUUCUGAGUUCACAAGUCGCUUUGACUGUAUGUGGUGACAGCAACUUCAUUUAUUUCAUCCAGUAAUGAUGACAGAGGGCUUGGUCAUAGGAUUCUCAUUUAAUCUUCUCAACAGCCCGCAAGGUGGAUUUCAUAUCUCAGAUGAAGAAACUUAAGGCUCAGAGAGGUUAAAUUACCAGCUCAGGACGCACAGCCGGCUAGAGAGAGGUUCCAGCACUGCUUGGAACCAAUGUUCUCAGUGGCUUCCCCCUCCCUUGCAGGGGCUGUCUAGUUUUUUUGUUUGUUUGUUUGUUUGUUUUUUUUACAGCAGAUAAGAACCAUGUGGCAGUGCUUAUUUAAGGAGAUGGGAAAUGAAUCCUUAUGUAGUUGGACUUGGUUCAUUUUGGAGACUCCCCCCACCUCCCCCCUUAACCUCUUAGAAUUCUCAAGUCUGGAAAAAGUUCUGUGAAAGCUGCAGGUGGCCUUUGUUUCCCAUUACUCAAGCACUAUAGAUUCCUCUUUUCUUGACAGACUUUGGAGACGCUUCAAGGAAAGCCGGUUUCCUGCUCAAUUGGUGCGUUCCUCAUUUGCUCCCGGAGGAUCUGCUGUGAGGAACUGUUGUGGCUGACUCUGGGUGACAGGCACGGAGCCAGAUGUGCAGGAUGGUGCAGCCUGGGGUUGGGUUCCGGGCUCGCUGUUGGAGUUCUGCAUUGGACCAGGUUCCUGAGAAGUCUGGCUCCUCCGUGAUCUGGCAGGGGAGCUGGUGUGCUGGAGGGAGGAAUCCCGGGGAGAGCGUGCCCGGAGGAAAUUGGGUCAAGAUGUUCGCUUUGAACACCUCUGGGUUUUUUCCAAACUGGAAGAGGAAAAGAUUCUGGUUUAAGAGAUGAAGGAAGUUUUAGGGUUUUCCAUGAGUGGACCUCUGAUAGAUCCUGGCUUCCUUGUGACUCAGGUGAAGAGACAGAAGCAGGGCCAUCGGCAGAUUGCUGAGUUUUGCAAACAGUUGACCAUCAGGGGCACUUGCCAGCCCAGCCCUAGAGAGGGCUCAGUGGCCUUUGAGUUGUCAUGGAUCUGUGACUGGAAGGUCUCAGAAGCUCAGAGACCUCCCCCAAGGUGACAGAGCAGCUAGGCAUAACAUAUAAGGCUAAGAGGAACCUAUGUUUUUCUUUGCAUUGACAUGAUAAGGGGUUCAUUCGUGAAAUCAGUGUUCACUGAGCUAUUACUAUGUGCAGGGUAUAUUAUGGGGAGCUCGAGAGAAUAGUGAAGAAGACCACAGACAUCCCUGCCGUUGCCUUCCCAGUGUUCCAUGGGAGGCAACAAGCCAGGAAAACUCAAGCAAAGUGCAUGGUGACUUAGAAAGUGGGUGAGUUUAAGUGGGAUGGACAGAGAAAGUCUCAUUAGGAGAGGACAUUUGAAUAAGGCCCUGGGAGAUAUGAGGGAGUAAAUGUGUGGGAUGGGGGUACCAGCUGUUGACUAGGGGACACACUUGGAUGUUGAAUACAUCUUGAAGAUGGGACCAGUGGGAUCUGGAUGGGUCAGGUUUGAAAGAGAACUUAAAGAAGGUCCAAGGGUGCUGGUCCCAGCAACUGCAAGGAAGGAGCUGGUCAUCUACAAGAAGGUGAGGACCGGAAACAACGCGUUUGGGGAGAAGCUCACGCUUCUUUGGGACAGGUUCAGAUUGAGAGGCUCUCUGUGUGCCAAAGGAGUGUGAUCGUUAAGAUAAACCAUUUGGAAAGAUGAUUCUCGAGCCCGAGAGAGAAACUGAAGUCGCUCUGGUGUGGGUGGUCUUCAAUCCACCAUAUUGGAUGAGAUCACCCAGAGACGGGGGUGGUUAGAGAAGAGGCCCAGAGGACGGAGCCUGGAAGCACCCCCAGGCAACAGUGUGGAUGGGGAGGGAGGAGGAAAGAACCAACCAACUGCAAAGGAAAGAGAGCAGGAAAAAAUCAGGAGAGCAGACGGUCUCACCAGGACACCAACUCCACCAGUAGCUCUCAAGGAAGGGAAGAUGCAAGCACAUCCCAAAGAACAUCUGAGACCAGAUCACAGGCACAGGAUAAUGCAAUUUCUUGAUGUCAUCAGCAUCGUGUGUGUGUGUGUGUGUGUGUGUGUGUGUGUCUGGUGCUGGGAAGGGAAUCCAGGCCCUACACAAUGCUGGGCAAGCUCUCUACCACUGAGCUCCAUCCCUCACUCCUUUUUAUUUUUAUCUUGAGACAGGGUCUUGCUAAAUUGUUGAGGGUCUUUCUAAGUUGCUAAGGCUGGGCCUCAAACUCACGAUCCUCCUGCUUCAGCCUCCCGAGUUGCUGGAAUGACAGGUGCGCACCAUGGACCUCAGCUAGCAUGACUGAUGUCUCUGUGUGCAUUUCCCUUAAUCCUACCCAAGGCUCCCUGGCUGGCUCAGCCCACGACUAGUUUUAGGGAAGGAGAGAGCGUCCCUAGGGUUCACAGGCACCGAAUGUCGAUGUGCAUUGCAUUUCUCUUAAUUAUUAAUUUUUAAUCACACAAGUAAUAUAUGACUUAGAUCAUGCCUCCUCACCCCGAAACGGGGAGGGAAUUGGUUCUUGGCUGGCAAAAAAACACCUUAGGUCUUAGAGUGCUUUAUAGCUCUCCAAUGGGCCACAGUAUCUGAACAGAUAUAUUGCACGUCUGUGGUAUUAAACUUUCAUGAUAGAGGGGGAGCGAUUAGGAAAGAAAUAUCUCACAAGGCUCCUCAGAGAAGGCGAUAAUGAGAAAAAUAGGUUGAGAAAUCCAAAAUUAUUCUAAACUCCCUUUUAACUGCCUUCCCUGUCUCUUGGGGAAAUAUACCCUGAUGAUUUGUGGACUUGGCUCUUCGGUUCAAUAAAUAACGAUAAAUUUUUUUUUCUUCUUUGUUUCCCCGACUCAGUAAUAUAUCUUGAAGAUGUGUUCCUAUUAGCGCGUAUACAUUAGUGAUUCCUUACUAAGGCAGUGGGGUGUCCUAUAGUAUGGAUGCAGCGUAGCUUAUUUUUGGGGGGUUCUGGGGAUGAAACCCGGGACCUUGCAUAUACUGAGCAUACCUCGGAGCUCCCCUCCUGGCCCUUCAGUAUAUUUUAUGUUUCCAUCACUGAUAGAUAUUUAGAGUAUUUCUAAUUUUUUCCUUCUUCUCUUUGCUAUUAAAAAUACCGUAGUGUUUUUUUUGUGCAGUGCCCAUGUUUGAUGGCUCUCGAGGGUAGCAGAGGACAUCCUGGUUGUAGGGCCAAGGGUCCUCUGGAUAGGCUGCAUGCCCAUCUGGUGUAAGGCUCUGGAACCACCUGCCCCAGCACAUUGUCCCCUUUGUCUCUCUGACAGCCACAGGAAAUUGACGUUUUUUUCCACAGGCUACUCUAGCUUUAAGAAAACGGAAUUUUAAUGAGCUGAAAGUCACUUGUAUAAGGCCACACAGUGCAGGUAGUGGCAAAAUGAGAUCUGGAUCAGAGUCUUCAUCCCCGAGAACGUGAGAUGGCAAGCGAGAGAGGGACUUUAGGGGAUCCCUCAGAUCUGUGGCUGGAUGUGCCUGGGGGUGGUCCCAGGGCCUGGCUCACAGACUGGGUUCUGGCUUUAUCGAUAUGCCAAUCAUUUCCAUGCAGUUUAGAGUUCCUUAUUUCUCAACCAUUACAGUGCCUGAAAUGGUUUUUAUUAUCUUGUAUUUUCUCUGACUAAGCAAGAUAGGCAAAAAUUUUCUUAAAAUAAAAACAGAACCAAAAAAACCCCUUAGUUCAGGGCUGGGGUUAUAGCUUAGUGAUAGAGGGCUUGCCUAGCAUAUAUGAGGCUAUGGGUUUGAACCCUUGUGCCAUAAAAACAAAAAGUUCAUAAUAUAUUACUAAAGACUUCAAAAUACUAUGAACAAUAAAAUUCCAGCUGGAUGGGGAAGAAGUGUGUGUGUGUGUGUGUGUGUGUGUGUGUGUGCGCGCGCGCGUGUGCGUACAUGUGAGCAUAUAAGAGAGAUUCUGGAAGAAGAUUCAUGAAAUGCUCCUGGAAGCUCUUACUGGGUCAGGGUUCGUGGGACUAUGUGAUUCCUUUUGGGGGAUUUCUCUGGUUAGUCCUCCUCCCCAGUGUCCUUCAAAUUCCAUGUCUGAAUGUCAUAAUCAGAAAAACAUAAUGCACUAUAAAAGAGAAGCAUCGGUAAACACUUUCUUCAAAAGUAAAAGGGAGGGAAUUAGAGACAGAGAUGAGGUAUUUCUUUAAUUUAGUUUCUAUAAACUCUGUCUCUUAUUUAUAAUUUUUUUUGUGUGUGUGGUACUAAGGAUUGAGAGGGCACUCAGGGGCACUCUAUCACUGAUAUACAGCCCCAGCCCUUUUUGUUUAAUAGCCAAAGCUGGCUUCGAACUUGUGAUCCUCCUGCCUCAGCCUCCCAAACUGCUGGGAUUACAGGUGUGCACCCCUGCUCCUGGCUGUGUUUGUAAAAUUUGAGUUCUCCCUGUGGGUGACAUGAAAGAGCAACCAUAGGAUCCCACUCAUGGAAAUUGCUGGUAGCCCAGGGUGCUGUUUGCUCUAAGGUCUCUGAGGCUGGCCAAAGACAGAAUCACCUUCCUGAGUACUGGUGGGGUGUCUCAGGUCAGAGCAAGGCCAUGUGAGUGGUGCAACCUGCGCCAACUGAACCAGCCCGCCCGAAUGUCCAGUUCCCAGAUCUGAGGGCCUUUGGCUGUUCCCCCAGAGGAGGCUCAGCCUAUCACCCCCCGUGGGAGCUAAAGUAAGGGAUCUGGAUUUGGGGGUGUGUGCAGAAGGGUUAAGUGCUGUAUGAAGAUGUGAGUAACAGGGGCUGAGUUUGUGGCUCAGUGGCAAAGCGCUUGCCUAGCAUGCAUGAGGCACUGGGUUCCAUCCUCAGCACCACAUAAAUGUAAAAUAAAGAUAUUGUGUCCACUUAAACCUAAAAAAUAAAUAUUCCAAAAAAAAAAAGAUAUGAGUAACAGAUCCUUUGCAUGCAUUUGCUUUGGGGGCACAUUUCUGUGUCCAGAGAGAAAAGGAAGGUCUGACCUUGCAAAGACACCGGUGGCAAAAAUCCUGUCGUUUUCAACCUUUGGAUAGUGCUUGCCUACCUGCCGGUCAAUCUGUAGAACGAAUGCAUUAAAAAACAUUGCUGAGGAGAGAAGAGAAGGUGGAGAUGGAUUAGGGUACCAAGUGAUACUACAGGAAUUCGUCAGUGGGCAGGGACCAAGGCUCUGCUGGCUCCCAGGGGGAUGGGGACAGCUGGCUCAGCACAUACUUGGCUCCUUUUCUGUUUUAGUAGCAGCAAGAUGAAUCAGUAGUGCAUCUCUAGGGCAAAAUGAGUUUAAGUCUUUCUUAGGCAGUUAUUAUUUUUUCCCCAAGAAAAACAACAAUAGAGGCCAUCUUUCUAGUCUUGGCUGCAUGUUGGGAAUUGCAAGGGCAUAGGGAUGCCCAGGCCAUGCCCAGGCCAAUGAGGUCACACCAGUGAAGCCCUCCAGGUGACUGCAGUGAGCAUCCACAGGGGAGCAGCUGAGAAAGCAUCCCAGCAGCUCAGGCCGUUGUUAAUGGCAACAGUCAUGCCCAAAGCGAGCCCCUUUACCUGUGCUACAUGAGUGCCCUGAUCUGUAUUCUCUACUUUAAUCCACAUCCUGCGGGCGGGGCUUGAAUUUGCGCAUUUGACAUUAGGAGUCAUGGCCCUAAGGUCAGCCAGCAGAAAGUGGUGUCCCAGGUCUGUGUGACUCCAUGCAAACCUCAACUUCAGUGUUGCUCACCCACGUGGGCAAAGGCAGUGGCUUGUGGGGAGGAGGGGUGUCUGGGAGUCAGGGGCUUGCUGGCAUUCAGAGCACAGCCCUGUCCCUGAGCUGAGGCGGAAGGACCCAAGCGUUAUAGUUUGGAUAGGCGGUGUCCUUUGGAAGUUCCUUGUGUUAGUUCAGGAAUGUUCUGAGGUCAAACAACUGAAUCGUGAGAGUUGCAACCUCAUCAGUCUGUGCUAGUCCCAGUGGACUGACUGGGUGUUAACUGUAGGCAGGUGGGGUGCGGCUGGAGCGGUAGAUCACUGGUAUCAUGCCCUGGAAGGGUGCAUCUUCCCUGGGACCCCUUUGUCUCUCCUUGCUCUCUCCUUCCAUGAAUGAAGCAGGGCUUCUUCACCACACCCUUCUGCCAUGAUGUUCUGCCUCACCUGGGCCCAGAGCAUUGGACUUGCCCAACCUUGGACUAAACCUCUGGAACCAUAGCUAAAACUUUUCCUCCUCUUCAAUUAUCCUGUCCAAUAUUUUGAUCACAGUGAGAAAGAGCUAACUAAUAUACCAGGUGAGACUGAGGCUCUUGAUACAGAUAAUAGAGCACAGGUAAUAAUAAAAACGUGUAAGAUAUUUUUGUUUCUUUCAACUUUAUAUUCCUUUCCAAAGCAUUUAAAAAAUUUUUUUUUUAGUUGUUGAUGGACCUUUCUUGUAUUUACUUAUAGGUGGUGCUGACAAUCGAACCCAGUGCCUUGCAAGCACUUUAUCACUGAGCUACAACUCCAGCUCCUUUUUCUGAAGCAUUUUUUAUACCUAGAUGUUUUUAUUUUCUUUAAACCUUAUUCUAAUUUAUGUUUCUCUUGGAAAAAUUUGUCUUUGCCCAUUUAUUAUUAUUUUAAACCAUAGAAUUAUUAUUAUAUAUUAUUGUUUUAAACACCCAGAACAGAAAAUUUGCCAUCUUACCAUUUCUAAAUGCACAGUUCAGUUUCAUUAAGUACCUUAAGCCGUUGCGCAACCAUUACCACCAUCCAUGUUAAGAACAUUUUUUCAUCUUGCAAAAUGGAAAAAGCUCUACCCACUGAAGAGUAAGUCCCAGUUGUCCAUGUCCCAGCCCCUGACUGUGUACCCUUGGUCUCGGUGAUAAACUGCUCCAGCCAUCCCCUGUCCAAGGAAUCCUAUAAUAUUUGCUCUUUUGCUCUUUUGUGAUGAGCUUGUUUUGCUCAGCAUUCUAAAACAUUUUUAGCAGGCAACUGAUUUAUGCUUUAAACAAAUAUAGAUUCAAAGAAGAAUGGAUUAAUCAGGGAUUUUUUUUUUUUAAUCAACUCUGGAAAAGCAACUUGACAAUGGAAAAUGAAUUGAAAAGAUGAACUUUAAAAAAAAAAAAAAGAUUCACCAAGCAAACUGGAUUCUUUACAAUUCCUUGAUUUUUUCCCCCUUUUUAUUUAAAAAUACCAGGGCUUGGGAUGUCGCUCAGUGGUAGAGUGCUUGCAGAACACAGGUGAGGAGGUCCUGGAAUCAAUUCCCAGUACUGGAAAAAAAAAAUUACAAAACCAUUUAUCGGGGCUGAGUGGGAGAGAGACCCUAGAAAACUGAAGGAUGAGCUAAAUUCUUUAAAUAAAUUUGGAAAUGAUAGCCAGGGGCAGUUCACACCAUUCAUAAAAUAUGCAGCACCCUCCUAGAGAGAGCGAGGAGUCAGCUUGAUUUCCGCCCCCUGAGCUGAGCUUUGUGUUUCUAACACUGGGCAUCUCCUGCUUCCUCAGCCCGGCUGCCAAAGCGGGAUGGUCCCAAGCCAAGUCAGUGGCCUCAGUGCCUCACCUGAGGGACCCAGCAUGAUCCUUGGAGAUACCUGCCUCCCGAGGGGGCGCCCAGUGCGGUUCUGCCGUAAUGCUAGGAAGGAGCUUUUACAAGGCUGAUUGGAAAAUUGACAUUUGUGUUUGGCUUUGUCAUCUGUCAUUGGGAGUUUUUGGCUAGGAUGGAGGGCAUGUUUGAUUCAAUGUAAUACUUAAUGACAGAGUGGAACAACUGAGAUCUGGGAGAUUAACUGUGGAGCCGUCAGCUGAAAUGUGUGGGAACGUGAGCCUGCAGGAAGUUCAAGUUCAAAGACUGUGAACUUUUUUUCCCCCCAUUUGACACAGUAGAAUUCUAUUCUAAUGCCCAAAUUAGAGGACAAGAGGACACCUACCGUCUCAUGACAGUAUCUGUUGUCUCUUGUUCUCCCUAUACUAGUAAUAAAACCUCAGUUUCUCUUUGGGAAACCAAAGAAGCAGUGGAUUCACAGAAAAUGAAUGGUUGGGUUUAAUUGAAUGGUUUGGGUUUGGUUGGACCCACGCUUGACUUGAAUACCAUUGCCACAGUGUACCAGGAGCGGACAUGUGACCCAAGCUCUUUCAGUGAGCUCCUCCUAUAUCCCAUUCCCAGGACUUUUUUUGCUGUGCAAUUUGGGGAAGAGGUGCUUUUUCUCCUCUGAGCUGUUAAAGCUGGAAAGAUUAUAAACUUGGAGCGCCAUGUCUAUGUUUGCUAGUGUCGGGGGAGCACCAGAGAAUGAAACUAGGGAAAAGAGAGAGAGAGAGAGAGAGAAGGAGAAAGAAGAAUAAAACAGCUAAGGUAAUAUCAUUGGAUCACCUGGAUCCAUUAAUACCUGAAGACCAUGCACUCUUGAACCUCGGACUUCCAAGAUUCAUGAGCCAAUAGAUAAUGCCAACUCUUCAUUUUUUGUGUGUCUGAAACAAUUUGGUUUAGAGUUCUGUGGCUUACAACCUACUGUGCCCCAUCUAAAACAAUUAUAUCACAAACUUUCCAUGUGAUAGAGGGAAGCUCCUUGCUGUGAACCUGUGAUGUGACUCAGCAGGUGGCCGUGAGGAGCCCUUGUUGUCACAGUGAGAUUGCAGAGUGUCAGAUGAGGAUUGAGAUUCAUAGGACCUAGGAUGCCCUCGCCCCGAUAGCGGGUAACUUGGGCAAAUCUCUUAACCUUUCGAAGUCCCAGCUCUGAACAUCCUUAAAGUAAGGGACUUAAGUCAGGUGGUCUCUGAAGUCACUUUCAAUUCUAUACAAUCCGCAGAUUGACUCAAUAUCUGUGUUUCAAAUGGGCUGUCAGAAAAGGUAUAAAAAUCAAAGAAAAAAAUUAGAUUUCCCUCCAAACUCCAGAUCUCUGCACAUCUCUGGAAGAUACAAAACCAUUUUUACCUAACGUUUAAAUUGCAGUACAACCUGCAUAAUAGAAAAGUGCUCACGUCAUAAAUAUGGACUUGGGGACAUUUCCACAAACUUCCCUCAUGUCAUGAGCAUCCACACCCUGAAGCCUCUUCCAGCCAGUUCCCACCUCAAAGAUGCCCACAAUCUUGACUUUUCUCCCACAUAUUAAUUUUGCUCAUUUUUUAAAUUUUAUGCAAACAGAGCACAGAGGAGGUUUUUGAUUUAACUGGUUUUUUUGGUGGUAGCAAUGGGGGGAAUCAGAGAUUCGCUCACUGCUCCUAUUGUGUGUGGCAAUACUUCACUCUCAUUGAUCUACAGGUAACCUGUCCCCAUAUGAUUGAGUCUGCCCCAAUUAUUUUUCCUGCUCUUGGGUGGAUUCACACCAUUAUGGACAGUGCUACUUUGGACACUCUGGUACGUAUUUUUUUUGGUGGACAGGAUCUCUUGUCUGUCCUGAGUGAUUUACACCAAGGCCUGGGAUGCGGAGUCAGGGUAGGUAUAUCAUGUGUUCAGCUCUGGAAAAUUCUACCAGGCAGUGUUCCACUCCCAUCAUCAACUGAGUUCUGUCGUUCCUUGUCUGGGUGAGGUGUCGUUGGUCUUUAUUCAUUGGAGUCAUUUGGGUGAGUGUGUCGUGGUCUCACAAGUUGUGUGUAUGUGUGCAGCUUUUUUUUUUUAUCUUUACCUUUUUAAUUAAAAUUUUCAGCAUUUUAGUGUGAAAAAAUGGAAAACUACAGAAAGGGAUGUUUUAUAGUACAUUUAUAUACCCACCAUCUAGACCCUGCGGUGAACCUUUUAUUAUUCUUGCUUUAUCAUGUACCUGUCUCUAGCCAGCCAUCUUAUUUUUUAAAAGCAAUUCAAACUAAGCUGAGAGCAGUAGUAACCUUCACCCCAAACACUUCAGCAUAUAGAGCGUUAACUAAUGGGCAAUAUGUGUAGUUAUUUUUUCUCCUUUGAUAAUGCAGGUUCAGUAUCUCUUAUCUGAAAUGCAUGGGACUAGAAGUGUUUUUGGAUUUCACAUUUUUCUGGAUUUUGUAAUUUUAUUUUUUUUUUUGCAAAUACAUGUAUGACAUAUCUUAGGGAUGGAGCCCAAGUCUAAACAUAACAUUCAGUUAUGUUCCAUAUACACCUCAUAGACAUAGUCUGUAGGUAAUGUUAGAUGAUAUUAUAUAUUAAAAAAAAAUUGGGGGGGGGUGGUAACAAGGAUUGAACUCAGGGGCACUCGACCACUGAGCCACAUCCCCAGCCCUAUUUUUUAUUUUAUUUAGAGACAGGGUCUCACUGAAUUGCUUAGCGCCUCGCUUUUGCUGAGGCUGACUUUGAAUGCAUGAUCCACCUGCCUCAGCCUCCCAAAUUGCUGGGAUUACAGGCAUGCACCACUGUGCCAGUGUAGUUUUAAAAACUUUUUGCAGGGCUAGAGAGUGAACCCAGGGCCUUGCACAUGCUAGGCAAGCGCUCUACCAAUGAGCUUCAUCCCUGGCCCUAUUUUGAUUUUUAUUUUGAGAUAGGGUCUUGCUAACUUGUCCAGAUUGGUCUGGAAUUCACAUCUUCUUGCCUCAGUCUCCCACAUAAGGGAUGAUAUUUUAAAUAAGUUCGUGCAUGAAUCAAAGUGUCAUGCAGUAGAAUUUUCCAUUUGUGGCAUCGUUGGCCCUCAGAAAGUUUCAGGCAUUGGAACAUUUUGGAUUUUCCUAUUAGAGAUGCUCAACCCAUGUCAUUUAUGUGCAGUCAAAUGCAUGUAUUUUAAGGGUCUUUUGCUGAAUUUUGACAAAUGCAUACCCCUAUGCCGCCCAAACGCUGUCAAGAUGUAGCGCAUUGAAUAUCAUGAGAAGUUCCCACAAGUCCCUCAGUUGUCCCCGCCCCCACCCCACCAGAAGCAACCACAGCCCUGAUUAUUGAUUGACUGCUUGACUGCUCUCUGAUGUCAUACUGUGGUUUUAAUUUUUGUAUUCUCAUGACUCCUGGUACCAAGCACCUUUAAAUAUGCUUAUUGCCCAUUAGUGUUUCCUCUCUUGUGUGAGGAAGGAUUGCUUUUAAAGUUUAAGGGGAAGAAACUAAGGGGACAAGUCCAGUUGACUGGCAGGAGGACCGAGUGAGUGUCCAUGCCUGGGGGCCAAACUUGUUCCAAAGUGUCUGCUGUUAACAGAAUUCUCACACCUCCAGCACUUCCCAAUGUCAGGAGCAAGGAAAUGCUCCUGAGGAAAACUUGACCCCAAACUGGCUAGCGCAGUGAACUUUCUGAGCACGCGGCUUGAAGCCUUAUCUUCUCAUCAUCUCCAGUUGUAUCACUUCUUCUCCCAUGAAUGGCAGCCUGCUGGAGAGCUCAGAGUCAUUAGCAGAUUUUUAUAGAGACUUGACCCACAGCUGCCAGAGGAAGUGUGACCCCGAGUUCCCCCAUGUUCCAUCGGAUUUACUUUCAGACGGAAAGGCGAGGUGGUAGGGCAGAGAAAAUGUUUUCGGGACCAUUGACAGAAAUGGAUCUCUGAAAAAACAUCAUGUCCCUUGUUCGCUGCAGGGUUCGCAGGUCUUGCUUUCCCGGGCUGCAGCCUCUUCCCCAGCCUUUUGUAAGCAGAGGACUUUGGGUUUGCUGCUGGUUUGUGAACAGCAGGCUUUCCCUUCUCCUCUUAGGGGCCCUGUCUGUGUAAUCGUGUGCUGGGCAGUGGUGGCUGUCACCAAGACUAGGCUAAAGUUGCGGGGAGAAGCAGAGUAACCUGCAUUCCGGGUUAGCCUCAAACUUGAGAUCCUCCUGCCUCAGCCUCCUGAAUAGAUGGGAUUGUCGGUAGGCACCUCUGCACUCAGCAAAAAUUCACCCUUUUAACAUAUGCACCUCAGUGGUUUAUAGGAUAAUGAUGGUCUAGCGUGUUCACUAACAUUGGAACAUUUCCAUUUCCUCCAAAAGAAACCCAUUUUCCAUUAGCAGUCACUCCCCAUUCACCCUUCCCCUAAUCCUCUCUAUUUCUGACUCUGUGGAUUUGCCUGUUCUAGGCAUUUCAUAUAAAUGGAACCAUACCGUAUGUGGUUUUUUUGUGUUUGAAUUCUUGAAUUUAGCAUAAUGCUCUCAAGGGUCAUCCAUGUUGUAGCAAGAAUAAGUACUCCAUUCCUUUUUAUGGUUAUAUAAUAUUCCGUUGUAUGGAUGUAUUUCAUUUAUCCAUCAGUUGGUGGACAUUGGAUUGUUUAUACUUCUGACUCUUACGAAUAAUGCUUCUAUAAAAACCAGUGUGCAAGUUUUUGUGUGGACAUGUGCUUUUAGUUCUUUUCGGUAUUAGGCGUAGGAGUGGAAUUGCUGGGUUAUGUGGUAACUCUGUUUAGCUUUUUGAGGAACCGCCAAAUGGUUCCUGCUUCUUCAACUGCUAAUGAAAUUUAUGUAUUGUUGCGAAAAGUUAACCGGGUUUUUAUGUUCUUUGGUCACAAUAUCCUCAAAUUUUGUGAGAUGGGCUGUUAUACUCUUGACAAUAGAUCUUCUGUUUAACAUCUAAUAGGACAUGCUACAACUUUCUAGAACAAGAAGAUGGCUUGUUGGUUCAAAUAGACCAGGGUUUCUGUUCUGAUUUGGAUCUUUAUGUCCCUCAAAGACCUGUAUGCUAAAGGCUUGAUCACCAACCUUUGUUGCUAUUGGAAGGUCGUGGAACUUUGAAGAGCUGGGACCUACAGGAAAGAAUUUAGCUCAUUGAAGUUGAAGGCACUAUUGGGACUCCUGUCUGUCUCUCUUUGUUUCCUGGUUACCAUAAGGUAAUCAGCUUUGCUCUCUCAAGUGCUCCUGUCCUGCACAACGACUGUGGAUUAAAACCUGUAGAAACCAUGAGCUAAAAUAAACCUUUCCUCCGUAUAAGUUGAUUAUCUCAGGUAUUUUGUCACAGCAACAAAAAGCUGACUGACAUAUUUUCCCAACCGUUUUCAUCUUCCAGUAUACCUGAGGGAUGUAAGAGGAUUCCUUACGAGCAGUAACAGGUUUUCUGAGGAAUGUAGGUGAGGGGUCUAAGUCAGCCAAAACCAACAAACAUCCCCUCACCCCACAAAAAUAACCUCCCACCCCAAAACACAACCAAGAAGUUAAAAAUACAAAACCUGGGUGAUUUCAACUCCUUCUUUCCCAAGCUCUUCAUUAAAAAAAAAAAAAAAGUCUGUAGUAGUCAGUAAUAAAGUUUGAAUGUGCUUUAUGACUUUUUCAGUGGUCUUACAUGUGAUAUGUGAUCAAUCCUCAUGAGCAGUUAUCCUCAUCUCAUCUGAGUACAUUGGAGACUCAGACUUUGUGAUUUGUUGCUAGAUUAAAAGUGGUGGAGAGUGAAGGAGAAUCUCAGCAUUUAGACCUUCUAAACUUGGAGUUCUGUACUCUUUUUUUGCAGGGGGAGUUUGGGGGUGUUCCACUAAGUUGCUCAGAAUGGUCUCAAACUCUCAGACUCAAGCCAUCUUUCUGCCUCAGCCUCCUGAGGAGCUGGGACAACACACCACCACACCCUUCUGAACUCCUUUGAUGAUGAGCAUUUUUCGGUGUUCACGGUCAUUUUAAAAUCUAGAUAAAGUUAUGCUGAUUUUCUUUUCUUUUAAGAAUCACAUUAGUAAGAGAGAUUGAACUUGACUCUGGGAACCCUCAGUAAACAUCAUGCUUGGAUCUUGGACAUGACAGGGAGUGGCUGUUUGCAACACACGUGUGCAAACUCAGCUAUCCAGUGUAUUUUUACAAGUUCCUUUUCUAUGUUUAUGCCUGUGAGGUUUCUUAGCACCUCCCCUCCCCGCCCCGCCUCCCCUGGCUGAUAGAGAAGUCUUUCUUUGGAAUUCUAAGAGGAAAUAUUGGGAUGUUCCUAUUCCCUUAAAUAGCAAAUAAAUUCCAAACUGGUGGAUGGGCUCAGCUGUGGGAUCGAAAAUCAUUUACAGAAACUUUGGGGUAUGUUUUCCCUUUUUUUGUCUGAGUGUUUUAGAAAUCAGCUUAAUUGAGGUUGUCUGAGGGCUUCUGCAAGUUUCACUGAAACAGUGGUGUAUUUAUACUCCGCUGGGAUGUGAUUAAACCACAUGGACACACAUGGGCCACCCUCCACCUCCUUCCUAACCCUAACCCCACUGCUGGGGCCCUGCUUGGGAGUGUGUUGACACCUGUCUGUGGAUGCAUGAACUAUAAGCCUGGUGCAGAGGGCCAAUAUGAUGAGCAAAGUCAUGUUUUAAAGCUAAUUGGGUUGGUAUGGAUAUGGAUAUUUUGUUGUGAACACAUUAAAAAACAGCAGGGUAGCUAAGCAUUUGAAGACUUUGGCUUCCUUCUUGCUUACCAUAAAACUUGACUUAAUAGGUAAGCCCCACUGUAGUAGACCCGAAGGAGCACAAUUUCUGAAACAGAAGGUCCUAAAGGAAGGAAUUUUUAUUGUCUAACUACAGGAAAACAAGAGCCCUUUCAGCUAUUAACCCUUGGAGAAGUCUUAGCCCAUCUCAUACUGAGGUGGUCCAUUCCCAGCGAGGUCCUUCAAAGCUGAGGGAGCAUCAUUUUGUUGGAGGGUGUUUUGAGUGCACAUUGCUGGGCCUCCCCUGCAGAGGGUCUGAGUCAGUGGGUCUGGAGUUGGGCCUAAGAAUCUUCAUUUCCAACAAACUCCCAGGGGAUGCGGGUCUGUGGUCCACACUUGAAGUGGAGAGAUUUAAGAGAAUUCACUGCCUGUCUUUUUGAGAGAAUUUUUGCCUUUAAGAAAGACAGGAGAGCUGAGCACAGGGCUACAGGUCUGUAAUGCUAGUGACUUGGGAGGCUGAGGAGAGAGGACCCCAAGUUUGAGGUCAGCCUCAACAACUUAGCGAGGCCUUAUCUGAAAAUAAAAAAUAAGGGCUGGGAUUAUAGUUUAGUGGUAAAGCACCACUUGGUUUAAUCCCCAGUAAAUAAUAGAAAGAAAGAAGGAAAGAAAGAAAGAAAGAAAAAGAAGGAAGACAAACAUGAAAAUCAAUAUUUCUAUUUUUUUUUUUUUUUUUUUUUUGGUAUUCAGGAUUGAACCCAGGGACAUUUAACCACUGAGCCACAUCCCCAGCCCUUUUUUAUAUUUUAUUUAGAGAUCGGGUCUCUCUGAGUUACUGAUUGCCUCACUGCAUUACUGAGGCUGACUUUGAAUUCAAAUCCUCCUGCCUCAGCCUCCCGAGCCACUGGGAUUACAGGUUGUACCACCACACCUGGCUGAAAAUUCAUAUUUGAAUCAUCCUGGAAAUCGGUAUCUCAAUCAUUCUUUGAAAGACAUGCCAGGACCUGUUCCCCAGGACUCCCCUCAGGGUAUCUUGUCUAGGGUUGCUCUUGGGAGGUGGAUUUGGUAGGCAUGUUGGGCUACGAAGGGUGAAAACAGUUCAUUUCUUAUGCAUACUUUCAUCUGUGUGUGAUGCUAUGGAUUGAAACCAGGGCCUUGCGUGUGCUCAGCACGUGCUCUGCCCUGAGCCACACCCCUCACAACCUGUCAUACUUUCAACUGAAUCCUGGUUUUGAUCACAGAUGUCCUGUGUUCUGGAUUUACCCACCUCAGUUCCUGGGAACUGUAGGGUGCCUUGGAGUUUUGUAGGGGGUCUAGGUAGGCAGAUUUAAUGAGUGGGUCCUCCUGAGUUUGAGGGGCACCAGAUGCUUCCUUUGUCCUUUUGUGUAUGAAGAUGCUGUUUCUGAAUUUAUCCUUUAAAUGCUGGGUCAUUUUUCUGAGGUCACUCCGGGUGGGCACUGAUCUUUGACAAGGUCCUGCUGGCUCAGAGGGCUGCGGUCUCACACUCUGAAUUGCUCCCUGUAGGAUCCUGGGGACUCUGAGCUCCAGGGUUAACCCUUUGGGAGCCAGAGGGCAUCUCUGAUUCUGGGGGUCUUAGAAGUCACUAGUACAUCAUCCCCUGCCAUUCCCUGGCAAGGUAUUGGCUUUUUGAUUGCCCAUCCUGACCACUAAAGCCUAUUGCCCGCUCCUGGUCCAGACACACUGUUCAGCAGUGGGCAGGGUGGUAUUCCUGGCAGGAGUGAUGAGCCUGAUAGCAGUAUUCCUGCUCCCCAUGCCAAGGUCAGUGCACAGACUGGCCUUCUGCACUGGUGAGAACUCAGAACGUAGUCCUAGGGGCCCUGGGUGCUGUUUAUCCUCAAUGUUUUAGUUGUAGAUGGAUGCAAUACGUUUAUUUAAAAAAAAAAUUUUUUUUUUGUAGUUGUAGAUGGACAGAAUUUUUUUUUAAUGUGGUGCAGAGGAUCAAACCCAGUGCCUCACAUAUGCGAGGCAAGUGCUUUACCACUGAGCCACAGCCUCCGCCUCCCCAAUGCAUCUUGAUAUACAGAGCCAGUUUGCUCUCCUCCCUUGGAUGUGCAUUGGAGCAUUUACCUCUGGCUCUGUUCUUUCCCAGUACCUGUCUUAGGCCCCUGGCAGUCAUCCCUAGACCCCAGAGCAUUUGCAGCCUUGAUCUGAGCCAGGCUCUCUGCAAAUAGGGGACUGUGGAUUUUCUGUUGGUCUCUGCCUGGAGCCACCAGCCCUUCUGAUACCAUCUUGAUGGAAUAGUCCAGCCAAGUUGAGAAUUCCCUUUAGGGGAACUGUCUGUGUAUCUUUGGAAAAUAUCCAGGGUCUUUGGAACUAAGUAGUUUCUGUCAUGGGCUGUACUUUCUUUUCUCAUCCAAUCACCCUGCUCGUGUUUAAUUAUAGAUUUGGUUUCUAGAAGAUUCUGUUCAGAGGCAGGCAGAAGUCGUGGAUAUGGCCAGUGGCAUAUCUGCCACCCAAUUCUCAUGAACUAUAAGAAAAAGAUUAAAAGAUUGAACAUGCCCAGCAUGGGAGGCUGAGACCGGAGAAUCGCAAGUUCAAAGCCAACCUUAGCAACUAUGAGGCACUAGGCAACUCAGUGAGACCUUGCCUCUAAAUAAAAUACAAAAUAGGGCUAGGGAUGUGGCUCAGUGGUUGAGUGCCGCUGAGUUCAAUCCUUGGUACCAAAAAAAAAAAAAAAAAAAAAAAAAGGUUGAGUAUGUCUAAUCAAAAAGCCUGAAAUCCAAAGUGUUCCAAAAUUCAAAAUGUUUCGAGGAUUGACAUGAUGCCAAAAGUGGAAAAUUCCACACCAUAAAGUUUCAUGCCAAAAAUGUUUGAAAUAUUGUAUAAAAUUAUCUUUAGGCAGUGGAUGUAGGGCAUAUGUGAAACGUAAAUGAGUUUCAUGUUGGGACUUGGGUCCUAUCCCCAAAGUUUGUUUUUUUUUAAACUGUGUGAAAUAAUAUGAAAUAUACCACUUCUGGUCCCAAGAAUUGUGGAUGAAGGACACUCAACCUAUAGUAAUUUGCCAGAUCUUGUUAUACAGGAUACUGGGGAUCUGAAGAGAUGGACCACUCACUUGGGGCUCUGAAGAGAUUGAUCUCACAGCUCUGUGCAGAAUCCAAGGUCCCGGACGUGCAUCUGGGGUGCGCCCCAAUCAGAAUCAUUCUCUUUCACUUUAAGGUGACAUCUCUGACCUGACAUUGCACAUAGGACACCUGUGCUUCAGGAGUGAGCCAUGGUCAGAGCGCACUUCCAGCUGUGUUAUAGGAAGUACGAGGGGUAGAGAUGGACCCUGCUACAGAGGUCCUCAGCUUUGGACCGAAGUGGAACCAGUCAGCAGUCUCCGCUGUCCCCUGGAAUCCUUGGAGCCACGAGUCUUCUGUGAUCACAUCUCACCAGAGUCCCUCUGUUGUCCCACCACUCUGAGCCCCCAAACCCCUUUCUCCACACUGCUAGAGUGUGGAACCCACUGCCUGCAGGGCCCUACCCUUCUCAGUCCUUCCUGCCAACAGGAAGUUCUGGGCUAGAGAGGGACAUGGGUGGGCCUACCUAGGACCCCUCCCUGUGCAUUUUUUCCUGCACCCUCACCAGCUCAGCACGGUGGCGCUCUCCUCACCUGGCAAGACAUACUCUGUGCAUUUGCCAGAACUGGUUUCCAGAACAGAGCAUGAGAGAUGGGAGGUGGGGGUGGAGUUUGUGAAUGACAGAAUUUAUUUUCUCACGGUUCUGGAGGCUAGAAGUCUGAUUUCAAGAUGGUGACAUGGCUGGGCUCUUCUGAGACUCUCUCCUUGGGUUUCUUUCCAUGUCUGAUCUUCCCUCUGUAUGAGUCUGUGCACUAACUUUUUAUGAAGACAGAGGUCAUAUCAGGACCCCGUUGUUUUUUACUUCCUUACCUUUACAAAGACCCUUUCUUCAAUGUAGUUAUAUUCUAAGGUACUUGGGGUUAGGAGUUCAGCAUAGAGAUUUGGGGGAAGGUAGGGAGAUAGAUGCAGCUCAGCUCACAGCACAAACCUGUGAUUCACAUCUGAACCCCCAAGUUCAGCCUGACCCUCCGUAUAUAGCUGCACAACUGGAUCAAGUUUGCAUGGAACAGAAAAAAAUUUGCUUAAGCUUGAAAUAUAUUAGGCACAUCCAAGAAUCUUCUCCUCUAAGAAUUAUGAUGGGUUUUAGUGUUCUCAUUUGGUUCCCUGUUUUUCAACUUUAAAAAAAAAUAUGUUACUUAUGAUAUAGUCCGUUUUAUGGACUUGAUUUUGUGCACGUGUUCCGUCAGAUAAUUUGAAAGGUUUACAGUCUGCUUUUAGUUCUGGUAGUUAUCUUUAUAACUACUAUAUAACUCUGUCAUAUACUCUGUCCUCCGUUCUUAGUACCUACUGACUCACCACUAGGAGCAAUGACAAAAUUAUUCUGAAGAGUUUUAAUCUUAACAAAAAUAACUAACAUUAUACCUUAUUUUUAAAAGAAUUUAAAAAUGUCAACCCUCUCCACAACCAUGUGUUGUAAUGCAGCUAUGACACUUUUUUUUUUCCUUUUUCAAUGCUGGAGAUUGAACCAGGACUGCUUUACCACUGAGCUACAUCCCCAGCCCCUUUUCGUGUUUUAUUUUGAGGCACAGUCUCACUAAGUUGCUGAGGCUGGCCUUGAACUUGGGAUCUUCCUGCUUCAAACUCUCAAGUACCUGAGAUUAUAGGCGUGCAUCACUGUUACCAAUUAUUAUACACAUUUUAAAGGUGAAGAGUUUAGGGACCAGAGAGGCACAGGAACAUGCCCAAGGCCCCUUGGCUUAGUAUCUAGCAGACCUGAAAUUUGACCUGGAACUUGUGUGAUUGCAGAACUCUGGUCCUGACCCUGUCUAGUUGGCCCAGCAUAUUCUAGGUAACUACCUCCAUUGCCUCCUCUCCCUCCUUUUUAUUUCUCUUCAGAUGGGGUCUUUGGAGGGUAGUAAUUCAGAAUUGCAGGCUUUGGAGGUACUUGGGUCUGCCCUGGGAAUUUGGAGGUCUGGUUAGGGCUGCCUGGGUACUCAUUCAGCUCCAAUGUCCCCUUGAUAUGGCCUGUAUGUGGCCUCCCAAGGCAGGAAUUUCCAUUCCAGAAGGUGAGAGGGGCCAGGACCCUGGAGCCACCUCUCUGGGUUUCCAGAAGCAUCCUCUCGGGGCUACCAAAGAAGCAUAGCUGGACACAGGCACAGACACACCAGACUCAGACAUGCUUGGUCACACUCACACACAGGGAUACCACUUUUUAGGGAGAAUCUUUAUAGAGAUUGGUUUCAUGUCAUUGUGGGGCUGGCUAGGCCGUCUCUCUGCCCAGCAGCUAGAGGUGCUGACAGAGGCCACCCUGUCCCUGCAUGGGAGACAUUAGAACACAGUGGAGUGGUGACCCAGCACCGGCCACCAUCUUUAGCUCUCAUGUCUGCAGGGCUGUGCAUCUAGAAGAGACUGAGUAAUUCUUGUUUAUUUUAAUCUGGGAGCCUAGAGGGGCAGAGUGGUAGACUUGAGUUGCUACUGCUUUCCACCACCCCAGCCUUCAACUGGAGUCCCAGCUCCGGCAUCUCUAGAGACUCCCUCUCCAUGACUACCUGUCCUCUGCAGGACUUCUGGCAAGGAGUGUGCUUGUGUCAGGCAGGGUUCAACCAGAGAAGCAGAAUGAGUAGGGAAAGCAUAUGUAUGCAUAGAUGUAAACAGAGAAGUGUACACAGUCACCUCAUACAAGGAGACCUAGACAGAUACGCAACAGAACCUGCAGGAACAGACAUGCCUGCAGACAUAGAUGUGCACAUACACACAGAUACACUUGCAGAUAUAGACAUACAUGUAGACAUUUAAAUAUAUAUGCACACGUAGAUACACUAGACACAGCACAUGUGUAUGUAUUCCUACACAGAUAUAUAGACAUUUUUAAAGAGAGCCUUUGUAGGGGUUGGUUUAAACCAUGCAGGGCAGGCUAAGCAGUCUCUGUUACGCUGUCAACUCCAUAUCUGAAUCUUGAUGUCACAAGAUCACAGCUUUUUCCCUUCCACCCACCAAAUCUCCCAGAACCUACUAAUGGCCCAUCCUAACCAGAACCUAGAAGACAUAGAAAUCUGGGAACUGAACUCAUCCUGGCCAAGUGGACACAUAGAAAGUCACGUUGGGUGAGCCGGUGGGAAGACGGCAGGCUCAGAGGUCAGAAUCAUCAGUUUUCUUGCUGUGCAGAUUUUAGCAAAUGUUCUAAUCUGUGCCUCUUCCAUUAAAAGAGAAUAAUACUACUUAUAACCUCUUGGCAGAGAGUUAUUAAUUAGGAGGAUUAAAUGGAAUUAAGAAUUUCAAGCAUCUGCUUUGCUCCUGGUGCUGGGGUAAGAAAUCUCAGACCUUUCACAGUUCUUGAUACUAACCAGGAACAUAAUAUACAAUUAAGUCUGAUUCUGCCCACAGACAAAUGGCUUCUUCACAUAGGCUUUGUGUAUUUCUUCCACUAAGUUUAUUCCUAGGAUGUUGAUAUUUCUUCUUGUUAUUGUGAGUGAAAUUUAAUUAUGUUUUUAAAUUGGUUAUUGAUGAUGUAUGGUUCCAGAAGGAUGCUAAUAAAUAGCCAUAUUCCUAUCUGUAAUGGGAAUUCCUCUGGAAUUUCCUCAUAACUCUGUUACUGGCUGUUGCUUUUAGAUUAGUAUUUAUAUUUUCUGUUUAGCAUUUUAAUAUCCUUUUUAUGUCUUUUUUUUUUUGGUGCCUUCAUGGAGAGUAUAAGAUUAGGUUGGUCUUCAUACCCAAAAGAGGCUAUUUUAAAAUCCUCAAAUAGAUAUGGAAUUUGUCAGAUGAUGCCCAUCAGCAUCUCUCACGACGAUUGUAUAUUUUUUCAUUUUUGGUACAUUAGUAUGAUUAACAAUAUUAAUAGAUUGCCUAGCAGGACAGAAUGUGGAAAUCAGAGGUAACUCCAUGGAAAGCACAUAGGAUAGAGCAUCUGGAAACCUGGAUUCCAGGUGUCGUUUGGUUCUUGACAUCUUUGACCUUGGACAAGCCAGUGUGAGUCAUUUUUCCUCUCAACAAACAUCCCCCCUUGAAGCUUCCUUACCUGUGAAAUGUGAACUGUCACAUUUCCCACCCUUUCUUACUGAUGAGACAGAAGAAUGAAGAUGAGUCAAUAGCUUUCUUUGACAUUUCUUUCAAUGCUUUUACAUGUGAUUCCUUAGAAAACUUGGAAUGGAGCCACCAUUUGACCCAGCUAUCCCACUCCUCCGUCUAUACCCAAAGGACUUAAAAACAGCAUACUACAGGGACACAGCCACAUCAAUGUUUACUGCAGCACAAUUCACAAUAGCUAAACUGUGGAGCCAACCUAGAUGCCCUUCAACAGAUGAUGGAUAAAGAAACUGUGGUACAUGUACACAAUGGAACAUUACUCAGCUUUAAAAGAGAAUAAAAUUAUGGCAUUUGCAGGUAAAUGGAUGGAGCUGGAGAAUAUAAUGCUAAGUGAAGUAAGCUAAUCUGGAAAAAAACAAAGGCCAAAUGUUCUCUCUGAUAAAUGGAUGCUGACCCAUAAUGGGGGGAGGGCAUGGAAAGA